CUGUGUAUUUUAUGUAAAUAGAUCCACAACUGUUUUCGUUAUACCCUGGUAUUUGAUUUAUAUUUCCCAAUAUAAAAAUUCACCAACUGGAAUAAACUUGAUUGUUGAAUGUUGACUAACUUCCAUGUUUCAUUCAUUAGGUGAAGAAGUGAAGAAAGCAGUGGGUGAAGCUGUGUGUUUUCGUCCAAACAGAAUAGAUCCUCCUGUCAGCAGCAUUAUAUGGAAACACAGAAACAGCAGUGGAGUUCUUGUCAAUGCGAUUGAAUGGGAUGUUGAUGAUGGUGUUUCCAUCCCGAAUCAGAGAUUCAAAGACAUCACAACUCUUGAUAAGGAGUCUGGAGGAAUUGCUAUACAUGAUUUAAAUGUCAAACAUAGUGGACUUUAUUCCAUCAACAUCAAUAGUAAAGAGCAGGAACACAGAUUCCACUUUGAAGUGUUGGAGCGGGUCCCUAAACCUGUGAUAAAAACAGAGAAGAGCAGUAACCCUAAAUUAUGGCAUAAUUCAAUUUGAACACAAGUCUUGUCGUUGCAAUUGCCAUUUCUUCAUUUCUUUGAUCACUGCGGUUAUUAUCAUUCCUAAUUCCAUAAUUCCUUUUCACGAUUAUUGUGCUGCUUACUGUGGAAGACCCAAGAUUUACGAGAAAACAACUGAUACGUGAAUGUUAGAUGCUGCAUCAGCCACACACUUCUGCUCAUCAUGAAUCCUCUAAAGCCCAAC